GGAUCCAGACUUUGAUCAUGGCUCAGGACGAACGCUGGCGGCGCGCCUAACACAUGCAAGUCGAACGAGAGAUGAAGAGCUUGCUCUUCAAAUCGAGUGGCGAACGGGUGAGUAACGCGUGAGGAACCUGCCUCAAAGAGGGGGACAACAGUUGGAAACGACUGCUAAUACCGCAUAAGCCCACGGCUCGGCAUCGAGCAGAGGGAAAAGGAGCAAUCCGCUUUGAGAUGGCCUCGCGUCCGAUUAGCUAGUUGGUGAGGUAAUGGCCCACCAAGGCGACGAUCGGUAGCCGGACUGAGAGGUUGAACGGCCACAUUGGGACUGAGACACGGCCCAGACUCCUACGGGAGGCAGCAGUGGGGAAUAUUGCACAAUGGGGGAAACCCUGAUGCAGCGACGCCGCGUGGAGGAAGAAGGUCUUCGGAUUGUAAACUCCUGUUGCUGAGGAAGAUAAUGACGGUACUCAACAAGGAAGUGACGGCUAACUACGUGCCAGCAGCCGCGGUAAAACGUAGGUCACAAGCGUUGUCCGGAAUUACUGGGUGUAAAGGGAGCGCAGGCGGGAGAACAAGUUGGAAGUGAAAUCCAUGGGCUCAACCCAUGAACUGCUUUCAAAACUGUUUUUCUUGAGUAGUGCAGAGGUAGGCGGAAUUCCCGGUGUAGCGGUGGAAUGCGUAGAUAUCGGGAGGAACACCAGUGGCGAAGGCGGCCUACUGGGCACCAACUGACGCUGAGGCUCGAAAGUGUGGGUAGCAAACAGGAUUAGAUACCCUGGUAGUCCACACCGUAAACGAUGAUUACUAGGUGUUGGAGGAUUGACCCCUUCAGUGCCGCAGUUAACACAAUAAGUAAUCCACCUGGGGAGUACGACCGCAAGG
rnacentral:rRNA from 1 species